rnacentral:rRNA from 1 species
AGGACGAACGCUGGCGGCGUGCUUAACACAUGCAAGUCGAGCGGAAAGGCCCUUCGGGGUACUCGAGCGGCGAACGGGUGGGUAACACGUGAGUAAUCUGCCCCUAGCUCUGGGAUAGCUCCGGGAAACCGGGAUUAAUACCAGAUACGACCACUUUAGACAUCUGUUGUGGUGGAAAGAAUUUCGGCUAGGGAUGAGCUCGCGGCCUAUCAGCUUGUUGGUGAGGUAACGGCUCACCAAGGCGACGACGGGUAGCCGGCCUGAGAGGGCGACCGGCCACACUGGGACUGAGACACGGCCCAGACUCCUACGGGAGGCAGCAGUGGGGAAUAUUGCGCAAUGGGCGAAAGCCUGACGCAGCGACGCCGCGUGGGGAUGAAGGCCUUCGGGUUGUAACCCUUUCAGCAGGGACGAAGCGAAAGUGACGGUACCUGCAGAAGAGCGCCGGCUAACUACGUGCCAGCAGCCGC